CAACUGUAGAGUUACGGCCCACCGCUCCUCACUUCACAGCACGCGCAAAGCCAUGUCGGAGAUUGCGGAAAUGUUUCAGCGCAUCAGUCAGCGCCCCAACGUGACUGGCAUCAUCGUAGUGGACAAUGAAGGCACUCCCAUACGAAGCACUAUUGAGGACACGACAGUGCAGAACCAGUAUGCGCACUUGAUCACGUCACUUGCUGCUAAAGCACGCCAUUGCGUUCGUGACUUAGACCCAACGAACGAUCUGUGCUUUCUUCGAAUCCGCUCGAAAAAGAAUGAGAUCAUGGUUGCACCAGACAAGGACUUCAUUCUGAUUGUUAUUCAAAACAUUGUCGAGUAGCUGCGUUACGCGCACACUGGCAUGGGAUAGAGGAGAGGAGUGUUUCGAAUGUAAAUAGUUUAUCCUCAGGAAUGUGGCUAAGCGCGACAAAAUAAUACGAACAGUGAACACGCUGCAGCCUUGCUGUGCAUUCACGCUUCCUUUGACAAAGAGAAAUACGCAUAGUCACGCAAAGAUGCCGUUGACCCACCGUCUUACUGUCGUGUUGCGCAACAUGUCUUUCCGUCAUUUUUUCGCCUGUGUCCAUUUC
rnacentral:misc_RNA from 1 species